CUCGAUGGUGGCUGUUCGCAGGGCGCCCCAGGGCGCGCCGGUUUAUGCACUCCCGGUCGACUAACCUGCUUACAGCCGCCACCCUU
rnacentral:antisense_RNA from 1 species